UAAAUGUAAAUUCACUUAGGAAUUGGCUUAAUUUCCUAAACUUGUAAUUGUGUCCUCGUUGUGUAGAUUUAGGCCUAGUUUUUAGGCAAAUUAGCUUGGGUUACAAGACUUAUCCAGAUUGAGCAGAUCAAGGGUUGACUAUGUCUACAAGGUCCUUUUCAGGAGCAAGCUCUACCAGUCUCCUAUUUGCCUUUUUUCCAUGGAAGAAUCUGAAUCCAUUGAGCAUACAAUCUUCCUUUGCCCUUGGGCUGCCAGAGUGGGGUUUUCCACUUGUAUUGCUUACAGACCUCUGCCUAAAGCUUUUACUUCGUUGGAUAGGUGGAUUAAUGAUCUUUGGUUGUGUGAGACCUUUAAUUCGGAGGAGAGAAAUGAUGGAUUAUAACUCAUUUUGCCUUUACUAGCUCGGCUAUUUGGAAAACUCGUUGUAAUUUGGUGUAUGACAAAUCAAAUUUCUGCCCACCAUCGCCAGAGCUCAAGGCCUCAUUGGCUGAUAGAAGUGUUGUGGAAUUCCUAUCACAUAUGAGAUUGAAAGAUGAUAGAAACCAUUUCAACACUCCACCUUUAGACAGUCAUCUGUGGGUCAAUCCUCUGGUGGGGACUGUCAAAAAUUAACUGUGUCGAUGCUUGGGACAAAGUUACGAAUGCAGGCUCUGCAGGGGUAGUGAUAAAGGGAUCAUACUGGUAAUCUGCUUGACGGCAGUGCGCAUUGUUUUUAGUCAUCACCAGUUGUGCAGGCUCAGUGUCAUGCGAUCCGAAGUGGAUUAGAGCUGGUCCAUGUAAGAGGUUUCACUAAUGUUAUUGUGGAAACUGAUUUCAAGGUUUGUUUUGCUGCUGUCCAGGGGGAUAUUUCUGUCUAAAAUUGGACUCUUUACCCUCUAUGACAUUAGAAUGCUAAAAGCUUCAUUCUCCUCUCUCUGGUGGACAUGGACUCCUCAAGAUGCGAACCAUGCAGCUGACUGGGUGGCUUCGCAAGCAAGAAGGGGGUUGUGCGCUGAGGCUUGGGUCAUUCGACCUCCAAUCACCCUGGUCUUCAUACUUUCACGGGAUGGUUUACCUUGCCCACCGAACUUGACGCUUUCUAAGCUUUCUUCUUUCAGUUUUUUGUCGUUGCUUUGUUUACUGUUUUGUGACUGGCCUCUCUGGUUGGUCUUUGUUGUUUGUAGCCCUUGACUGUUGUGUUAUUCUUCUUAAUAUAAUACUCCUUUUACCU